UACGUAGGGGCCGAGCGUUGUCCGGAAUUAUUGGGCGUAAAGGGCGCGUAGGCGGCUUGACAAGUCAAAGGUGAAAUCCCUCGGCUCAACUGAGGAACUGCCUUUGAAACUGUCAGGCUUGAGGCCGGGAGGGGGUAGCGGAAUUCCCAGUGUAGCGGUGAAAUGCGUAGAUAUUGGGAGGAACACCAGUGGCGAAGGCGGCUACCUGGACCGGUACUGACGCUGAUGCGCGAAAGCGUGGGUAGCAAACAGG
rnacentral:rRNA from 1 species